CCUGGGGGUCCGGCAUCACCACGAGCACCCUUUGGUCCAUCUUUGCCAGCAGGGCCAGAAGGGCCAACAGGGCCGGGGUUACCCUGUGACGGAAAGAGAGAGAAUUUCAGUGGGUCUAGUACCCACCACAGGUCCAGGAGCUCCUGAUGGUCCCUGAGGUCCAGGGGAACCUCCUUCUCCCUUCUGUCCAGUCUCACCAAGCUCUCCCUUGGCACCUGGCUGACCAUCUGCACCCUGGACAUUUUAAACAACGCAGUAAUAUUGGCAGAAUGUCGACAAAUGUACAAGUUGCAGACAACCUUGGAGGAUUGGAUCACAGACAAGCCAACCAAUCCGCAACUUUCCUGCUGCUAUGUGUUCCAGGAAGUCCACGAGGUCCCUGGAGACCCUGAGGUCCAGCACCACCUCUCUCACCAGGGAAACCACGUUCACCCUGUUAGGAGACGAAGACACAUAAUCAAUAGGAGAAACGGGAA